UACAGCCAAUAAUACGCGAUGGGUCCAACCAGACCCGCCUUCUGCUGGUGACGCUUUCAUUUCAGUGCAGGAAAUAGAGAGGUUUGUUUUGUUCAUGUGAGGAGAGGUGGCUGCAGUCAGUGAUGAUUUUACAACACGCUGUCUCCUGCUGUUUAAAGUAUUUAGGCUGGGAUGAAAUGUUUUCUAAUAAUUAGUGAUUUUUGUGUUUGUUUAUUACCUGCACGGAGUUCCGUGAAAAGGAAAGCAUCCCUUUUCUGUGUUGAAUUUCACACACAGAGCGGAGCGCGUCAGUCGCAGCUACAGACAAGUCGAGCUUUUCAAUGAGAUGAUUUACUGAGAAACAAACGCGUUGAAGCUCCAGCAGAGCUCUGCGCGAUUCUGAAAGACCAAAGUAAAGUUACUCCUUGCAAAGCAUGUUGUUUGUGUUCUUUCUUUAUCACACCAGAAGAAGUGAUGAAUAUAUUUGAAUGGGAAGGCUACAGUAAAAAAUAAAUAUUACUAAAUACAAACCGCAGGCGGUGUUUCUGAUUGAAAAGAGGAUUCCGCUAGACCAGUGUGAAACUCAAACCAGUGAAGAUGGACGCGUCAGUGUGUCCGUGUCGCUCAAGACGAGCUCGCCUCUACCAUCGAGCACGCAGUGAAAGCGGCUCUACACACCGUCUUGUGCGCGAUUACUAAAGCUGUCGGCAGCAAAUUCACUGAAUUCAGAGUGGAAAUGGAACAAAAAGGAGAAAGAGAAUGAAAGUCUGAAGCUGAGAUUGGAAAUAUCAGAGAACGAGCUGAAAGCUGUGCGAGCGUGUAUAAACGCUGCAGAUGCAGACAUUAAACAGCCUUUAAUAUUUCAAGAUCCCAUGGAGAGCCACGCUAUCCCUGAAUCUGAAGCACAGGAGGGGCCAAAGAUAGAAGCAGAUUACACACAAGAGGAGUCCUUUGAGCAGGAGUGGUGUGCAAGUCUAAUGCAGGUUACAGAGCUGGCAUGUGUUAAAGAUGAAGAGGUCCCUCAACAGGAAUGUGUUCCUAUUAAAGAGGAAUUCAUAGAGCAGGAAUGUGUCCCCAUCGCAGAGGAACUUCCUCUUGAAAAUCAUGUCUGUACACUUGAGGAGAACAACAAGCUGGGAACCAACCUGUCUGAUGAUUCUCCAUCUGAAUGUGAACUGGGAUUCAGAGGUAAUCCUACAAAACAAGCAGCAUUGAGCUGCCUAUUCAUCCUGCAGAAACUGGUACUGAACAUCCGCAGUGUGCUUGAGAUUCAUAUUUUAACCAAGGGGAGCUGCCCAACCACUAUGUCAACAAGGACAUCACUGUGCUUGCUUCUGAGGCACCUGCUAGAUGUGCAGCCACUGCCACGCCUCUUUAGAAUGCUGUGAGAUCAGCGGUGUCCAAUCACGCUCCUGGAGGCCAUUCCACUCCACAUUGAACAGCUUCUAAAGUAGAUGAAGGAGAACACGACUCCACUCUAUCACCCCAGUGCAAAAACGCUUCUAGAGGCAAACCACAGUGCAAGAAACACAGAGAAACAACACCCCAAGAAGAAAAUGUGAAGACAUUGAGAACUCACUCAGUUACAAUCCCUUCCUUACAAGACAGACACCCACUUACUGUGGAGAGUACAGAGACGGCACAUUCUGUAUGUUUUAACAAUUCUGAAACCCAGGGCAACUUGAAGACCUUACCUCAUUCUAUUAAAGGUGGGAAGAGUUCCUGUCAAUUAGACACUCCUGAAACUCACAAGGGAAAUAACACAGGAGGGACUACGUUUUCCUGGGCUGAUUGUGGGAAGAGUUUAAAUCAUAUAUCACUGCUUAAAAGGCACCAGCGCGUUCACACAGGAGAGAAACCUUCUCACAUACAGACCAGUGAUAAGAGUUUUACACAGUUAGGAAAUCUUCAUUCACACCAGCGCAUUCACACAGGAGAGAAACGUUAUCACUGUGCUGUUUGUUGGAAGAGAUUCAGUCAGUUAGGAAACCGCACAAGACACCAUAACAUUCACACAUAUGUGUAAUCCUAUCCCUGCACUUAGUGUGAAGAAGUUAAGUCAGUUGCAGGCUCUUACAGGACUUGAGAACAUUCUCAGAAAUGCAGACACUUGGGGACACCUAAACAACAGGAGUGCAUUCGACUAAAUACAGAAAUUUAACUGAAAACAAAAGAAUAAACUUGCUUGAUAAAUAGGGUCACCCCUAAUCACAAUCUGUUCAGAUCAAAAACUCACCAAAAUCUGUGUUCAUCAUGUUGUUGAGCAUUCUGAUUGUGUUACAUCACAUUAGUAAUAUAUUAAAUAGAUUGUUAUUAUGCGUGCAAGUUUCUCUUUUUUUCCUCCUGCAUUGCUCAGCCUCUUGCAGUGUGUUGUGUGGAAUCUUCCCUGAUACCAUGGUGAAUCUGCGGUACCUCAAGACGCAGCACAG